GCUGGGCAUGAUGGCUCAUGCCUGUAAUCCCAGCACUUUGGGAGGCUGAGGCAGGUGGAUCACAUGAGGUCAGGAGUUCGAGACAAGCCUGGCCAACAUGGUGAAACCCUGUCUCUA
rnacentral:SRP_RNA from 1 species